GGGACGUUAGUUCAUUGGUAGAACGUUUGGUCGACAUCCAAAAGGCAGUAAGUUCGAUUCUUACACGUCCCACCA
rnacentral:tRNA from 1 species